rnacentral:rRNA from 1 species
UACGUAGGGUGCAAGCGUUGUCCGGAAUUAUUGGGCGUAAAGAGCUCGUAGGCGGUCUGUUGCGUCGGCUGUGAAAACCCGGGGCUCAACUCCGGGCCUGCAGCCGAUACGGGCAGACUAGAGUUCGGCAGGGGAGACUGGAAUUCCUGGUGUAGCGGUGAAAUGCGCAGAUAUCAGGAGGAACACCGGUGGCGAAGGCGGGUCUCUGGGCCGAUACUGACGCUGAGACGCGAAAGCGUGGGUAGCAAACAGG